GUCGUUUGGACUACUAAAUGCCGUUCUUCUCUCUUGAGAUCACCUUGGAUUGGACAACAUCCAAAUGAGCAGGAUUGCUUUUGCUUUCAAAACGGUGAUACCUGGAGCACUGGUAUUCUUUGCUGGUUGAAUGCAAAUGGAAGCCGGAGGAAAAGGGAACCCUUGACUCCGUGUUCAUAUAGAUUGGCCUCCAGGGCAGACAGCUGAGUGGGGUUUAAUCUGGACUGGAUUGGAGGAAAGGAACUGGCACCAGAGUGGAGGCUGGAUGGAUGGUGGAACUGACACUGAAACAGAACACAGAAAACAGAAUCUAAUGCUAUUGCUCUGGCUGUAUCAAAUAAAAGUAUCAAGAGUGAGCAUCCCUGCCUUGCGCCGAAUCACAGAGGAAAACCUUUCAGUUUUUCUCCAUUGAUUAUGAUGUUAGCAGUGGGCUUUUCACAUGUGGGCUUUAUUGUGUUGAGGAGGGGGUCUGAUGGCCGGGAGGAUGGGAAGAAGGAACCCACGAUGAAGCAAAAGUCACAUUUAACUUUGUCCUCACCAUUCCUCUCCUGGGCCUGUCCUAAACAGGAAGCUGGGGGAGGAUGGAGUGCUGGAAUCCUGCAGAAGUCUCAUGGGAGGGCGCUUGGUGUUCACCACAGUGUAUACUGUUGCAUGACCA